rnacentral:rRNA from 1 species
GCAUAACGCGAAGAACCUUACCCACCUUUGACAUGUACGGAAUCCUUUAGAGAUAGAGGAGUGCUCGAAAGAGAGCCGUAACACAGGUGCUGCAUGGCUGUCGUCAGCUCGUGUCGUGAGAUGUUGGGUUAAGUCCCGCAACGAGCGCAACCCUUGCCAUUAGUUGCUACAUUUAGUUGAGCACUCUAAUGGGACUGCCGGUGGCAAACCGGAGGAAGGUGGGGAUGACGUCAAGUCCUCAUGGCCCUUAUAGGUGGGGCUACACACGUCAUACAAUGGCUGGUACAAAGGGUUGCCAACCCGCGAGGGGGAGCUAAUCCCAUAAAGCCAGUCGUAGUCCGGAUCGCAGUCUGCAACUCGACUGCGUGAAGUCGGAAUCGCUAGUAAUCGUGGAUCAGAAUGUCACGGUGAAUACGUUCCCGGGUC